CCCCGCGGGACGGACGGAAGGAGGAAGCCAGGCUGUAAAGAAAUAAAACCAACAGCAGCAGAACUGACAGCGAGAAGAGAGAGGGGAAGAGACAGGCUGGCUGGGAAGGACAGCUUUGCUGAGCCCGGGAGAAAAUGGUUUGAGUAAUUAUCAACGCCUGCCGCUAUGUGGCCAGGAAGAUUGGGACCCUGUGUGGCCGAGAGCUCCAGGAGCCACCAUCCUGCCCGGCGCAGGCAGCCCCCCGUAGCCACCACCCAAAUGUAAAGGCUGAGGUACCAGCAACCCCCCAAGCAAGUGCUUCGCUUCCCAGGAACAGCGGCCCCAUCCAGGAGCAGCCCUGCAGGUCCUGAGGGUAAAAGCCCUCGUGGACCUCCCCUGGAGGCCACGAGCUUUCUUCCCACUGGUUUUCCCAGGGAAUCCGUUUGCUGGGAAUCCUGCAGCCCAGGGAUUGGAAAAUAUCAGCAAAUCCCUCCUGUACCUGUUCUCAACACAGAAGCACGACGACAGAAAAUGUCCUGAUCGGUCCCUCGUUACCAGAAUUUUCUAAGUGGCAGGAAAAAAAAAAAAAAGGCUAAUGUUUAUCAGAUGCUCCUGGCACUUUUGGGCCACAGAGCAGCAGGGGAGGAGCAUGAGCCACUGCAUCCGAGCAGCAAAUUGGAUUUUUAUCCUGUGAAACCAAAUUGUUCUCCCGAUGGGAUUGGUAUGCAUUCAGACAAUUUCCAGGAAGGUAAAACCAGCUCCUGAGCCGGAGUAAGGAAUCUUAGAGCUUAGGUCUGUGGAAAUCCCAUGAUGUUUUGUACAACACCCCCUCUCUGUGCCCAGUAAGCCAUCCCUACUGGGCAGCCAGCACCCCAUAGUGAUGUCCAGCACCCCCAGAGCAGAGGGAGCUGCAGGGACCACAGUCGGGUCCCCCCAUCCAGUGACACCCCCCCCCAAGUCACAGAGAACAAUGACAGCAGACUCACAAACUCCGCUGGCGCGGGGAGGAAUCUGCCCGACCCCAUCCUGUGACAGCCCCAGACGAACCAGAAAUAAAGAUGGAUGAGAAGA